CAUCCAUAUCAUGUUGAAACACCGGUUCCAUAUGAUCACCGAAGUUAAGCAACCUCCAAUCUAGUCAGCACUUAGAUGGGUGACCGCUUGGGAAUACUAGGUAUUGUAAG